UACGUAGGGUGCAAGCGUUAAUCGGAAUUACUGGGCGUAAAGCGUGCGCAGGCGGUGAUGUAAGACAGGUGUGAAAUCCCCGGGCUUAACCUGGGAACUGCAUUUGUGACUGCAUUGCUAGAGUGUGGUAGAGGGAGAUGGAAUUCCGCAUGUAGCAGUGAAAUGCGUAGAUAUGCGGAGGAACACCAAUGGCGAAGGCAAUCUCCUGGACCUGCACUGACGCUCAUGCACGAAAGCUAGGGGAGCAAACGGG
rnacentral:rRNA from 1 species